GUCUUCCGGUGGUUCGGACGUGUACAGAAAAUCGCCCAGACACUCGCCCUCCAGCGAUCCAACGGAGAAUGUCUUCGGUGCAUUGCUCUGUGUCUCGUCAAUGCUCCUGGAAUGAUGCGAUUCGCUCUUGAUGAGUACACUAUAUUCUUCGAGAACGCUCCUAAAGCAUAUUCUGUGUUUCCUGUUCCUCGGAUAGUUGAUCGCCCUUGGCAGUUACACUACCUCCAGCGAGUCAUAGCGACUCGACGUAGAUUCCAGCUACCGUCAUGGCACAAUUAUUAUCUUACUACUGAGAGAUCUCUACAGUCAUGUGAUUACUCGUGAUCACAGUCGACCGAUUUCCGUGGGUGGGAAGGACAAGGAAGCGCCCGGGGCAAUAAUGAGAAAAUGUAAGAUCGGCUGACUAAUCAAGCGGCUUCCUGAGAUCUCUCUUUCUCGCGCACGCGAUGACUAAUCACGUUCUUGUAGCACUACAAUGCGUCCACCUGCGCGCCGCGUCGCCGGUGCACGUCGAGCUACGAAUUCCUCGUAGAUUCGCUGUCGCGCGACCGAAAGCACGACACUGCGUUACGGCUCCGAGUCUGCCCACCGGCUCGCGCGAGCCCGGCUUAUUCUUCAUUUACGUAUUCCUCGUGCGACGCGUUGCAUUGACUCACGUACGCGCGCGAACGCGUACGUGGUGACUAACAGCAAAGCACGACCCGCACAGGCACAUCGUAACGAAUUUCGCACCCGAUAGUACCGCAUGAACGAAGUGUGAGACAGUUCUUCGAGUUCUCGAAAGGAUGUGUACCGUCCAAUUAAAGUCUGCUGGUCAAAGGUCAUCGUGGUCGUUGCAAAAUUCGGAAAUGAGUCUCCGUAACAUCAUAAUUGAACGAGAGAGUAUAAACGAGCGCACGACGUGAAUGCAACGGCCUGGAGAUAAGACGAGACACCUUCUGCCCAAGGAUUGAUAAUCUUUCGUCCGAGUGUCGGGUACAUUUAUCACACGGAUAUCGUAAGUAAUACGUUGUUGAAGAGAACGAGGAAGAGAGCUCGACAAUCCGACGUCCCGACGGGACUUCAGUUUGCCGAGGUGCCUGGGAUGCGCUCGGGGUGCAACGCAAUGUUCGCUUCAACGGGGUGUUUUCACGACUCAACGGAGCGAAACGACCCUCCCACGGCUAGCGGGCGCGUGGCUGGAGAACGACCGUAUGGUGACCGUCGCAACCCCACAAGUCGCUUGAUGAUGAGUGCCCCCUCGCGCGGCACGCGCUAUUCUUCGGUGGAUCCUUCUUUUCAACACGGACUUGAAACUUUUCACGCAAAUCGUAGUUGAGUCGCACGCGACAGAUCGUUAUUCCGUUCAAUUGUCGCCGAUCGGGAUGAUAUUUACGGUGAAUUUAAUAAUAACUGCUCCUGUCGCUCCUGAUUAUCCUUGAGAACUUGCUGAGCUGACAAUAUCCCAGAUUCCUCGGAACGGUUUGCAAUUGAAAUAGGUACCUUCCGCGAGUGUACGCAUAAACAAACAUAGACACACACGCGCGCGCACACACAUAUAUAUUUGCACGCACACCGUUUCGCGCGCGCUGCGCGAUGAUCGAUCUGAGCGCGUUAAUGCCCUACAAUCGACUGACUGACUGACUGACUGACUGACUCGGAGCGCGGUUGCUUCCGACUUCCUCGCGCGCGCAACUCGCCGCGAUCUCUCCCGUCCCACUCUCCGCCCAAAGCGCAUAAGCCAAGUCCUGUGAAAACGCAACUCCUCCCCUUUCGUCUUUGUUGUUUCUGUAGGGGCAGCUUGCAUGGGGUGCUCGUUUCCAUAUGUACCCCCUCGCACACACAUGGGACACCGCGCGUGUCCAUGUGUAACCGUCAAACCGUAACGAGGUGCGCUCUCUUGGACAGGAUGGGACUCCCUCCCGCGGACAUACGCCGGAAGACGCUUAAUUAAGCUUCAAUAGAUACAAGGUGAUCCAGGUUCUGCAAUACAAAAUAAUAAACACUGCAAAGUGAUGUUUAUGGAUAUGCGAUCUCGUCGCUCUGGACUUUUGCGAUGUUGGACGAACAUGAGACAAUAGCGUGACUUUUCUAAUGAGUGAAACAUUGUAUUGGAUCAAGUGAUUUGUAUUUAUAUGAAAUAAAUAUGAAAAAGAUAUCUGAUGCAGAGUGUUCUGUAACGGACGGCACAAACGAGGAAAGUGUGACUAACGUCCUCAUGAAGGAAAUUCAUUAAGAUGUGAUAAACAAGAAUGACAAUAGUUUUUACUCAUGGACCUGUACAGUAGGAGGCGAGAAAACGUUUCUAUUUCAUUCUCAAAGACGACAAGUCGUUGUCUGCCGUCUCGAUGAAAGCGGAUCUCUCGUUCAUUGGCGUAGCGACCGCGACGUCUCGAGGGAAAUCGAUCGUUCAGUUCUUCCUUGGGAGACGUCACGAAAUCACGCCAAUGGCGCUUUUAAGGGCCAGAAAACGUAUUCAGAAAACUUAAUGGAGGAUCUAAUCGCUACCUUGGACAAGAAAAUGGAUGCUCACAGAGAGAAGAAACAGCAAACAUUUCAGCAAGCUCAGAUGAAAGCUCUCCCAACAGAAAGCAUAACAUCGCAGUCGCAAUAGCUUUGUGAGAUUAUAUUCAAUUGUGUAAUUAACAUUUAAAUGUCAACACACUUGUUAAAGUGUAAUUAACAUUUAACGUUUAAGGUCAACAACGUCCCUCGCUGUAUGAGCAAUGUAAACUUUCUGUUUUAUUUAUUUAUACUACGCAACAUUUAUUGAUAAUAAGUCGCCCAGCUAUAUGUGUCACAAUAACUCAACACAAUCUAUUUAAAUUGAAAAUUAUGUGAAUCAUAGAAUACGUUCUCUUCUCAAUU